GGUGCAUGAGGGUCUCACAUGGCUUGAGCCCUUUAGACACUGUACAGGUGGCCAAACAAAAUGGAGAGAGGGGUGAAAUCAAACCAUGAGCGACCCAACUACUCGACCCUGACACAGGCCCAAACCCACCCCCAAUCCCGCUAGUUUCCCUGGGAAGAGAACCGUCCAGCGGGCCAUGGCUGGACUGAGCCCGUGCCGGACAUGGUGCUCAGUUGCCAUCCUGGAGGGACCAGAGGAUUGCUCACCCUGGUUUCCUAGGCGGAGGCAGGUGUGUUGUCGGCAAAGACCCUCACUCAGGCCAAGUGUGUGAUGUCUCUUCUUCUUCCGCAGACGCCGAGCCCAGCACCCGGGAACCUGUUCCGGACGUGCCGCUCCCAACCAUGACUCCCAGCACCGAAGCUGACCACGACCACGACCACGACCACGACCACGACCACGACGCCGAGCCCGGCACCCGGGAACCUGUUCCGGACGUGCCGCUCCCAACCAUGACUCCCAGCACCGAGGCUGACCACGACCACGACCACGACCACGACCACGACCACGACCACGACGCCGAGCCCGGCACCCGGGAACCUGUUCCGGACGUGCCGCUCCCAACCAUGACUCCCAGCACCGAGGCUGACCACGACCACGACCACGACCACGACCACGACCACGACGCCGAGCCCGGCACCCGGGAACCUGUUCCGGACGUGCCGCUCCCAACCAUGACUCCCAGCACCGAGGCUGACCACGACCACGACCACGACCACGACCACGACCACGGUAGGGGCCCGUGUGCCUUGUGUCCUCUGCCCCUGGGAGCCCGCUGGGCUGCCGGGGCUCCUUGAGCGAGAACGGGCUUUCCUAUUGCCUCCGGGACCGGGAAGGUGUCGCCAUGCGAUUCCUUGUCCCGAAACGCUGGCCUGUGCUCUGGAGCUGCGGGGACGUCCUCGGGGCUCUGCGCGGGAAGGAUGUGCUCCCUGGGGAGAGAGGGGCCGCGGUGCGAGUCAGGCGCUCCGAGACGGGGCCGUGUGUCCUCCCGGGUUCUCUGGUUGGCUGCACGCUGCCUGGGCCUGUCCGCAGGUUGUCCGUUUCUCUGCGUGGUGGUCUGCUAAGCCGUGCGGGAGGGGCGUAGGCUUCCCCGCCCCCCACGUCUGCUCCCGCCAUGACCCCGGGGGUCUGGUGCAGCACGCCCAGCCCGCAUGCCUGGCGUUGCCACGGAGGCUGCGAGUGCAGAAGCCUCAUGGGACCCGGCGUGGAGUGCCCCACUGCCCCUGGUGGCCCAGUGUGCGCAGCGGACUUAGGCGCGGGCACGCUGGGCUCCGCGAGGAUGGUGCUCUGUGCCUCUGCCUCUCCUGAGACGUCCUUGCCUUCCUCUUGGCGUUGGCUGGUCUCCGAGCUCCCGGGACAGCGUCCAGGAGGCGUGGCCGCUGCCUGAGGACAAGUCCUCGAUGUGCCCUCUGACGCUGGCACGAGCGUGUUCUGGACCCGUGCCGUGCCCCCAGGCAGCUGGGGAGUUGUCUGCCGUGUAGUCCGGCGGGCCACCAGGAGAAUCUGACCCAGUGUCCUGGAUGGGCCAGUUCCCAGUCGUGCGCUCGUGGCCCAGACCAGACCCGGGCUGGUGUGUGGAGCCAGCCACGCGGGCCCGUCUGUCCUCCGUGCCCUGAGUGGGCGCAGAUGAGAGAGGGCGCAUCUUGCUCCGUCCGCUUUUCUCCCCCCUUUUCUCUCCUCUCUCCCCCCCGU
rnacentral:lncRNA from 1 species